rnacentral:rRNA from 1 species
AGAUUGAACGCUGGCGGCAUGCCUUACACAUGCAAGUCGAACGGCAGCGCGGGGCAACCUGGCGGCGAGUGGCGAACGGGUGAGUAAUAUAUCGGAACGUACCCUGGAGUGGGGGAUAACGUAGCGAAAGUUACGCUAAUACCGCAUACGAUCUAAGGAUGAAAGUGGGGGAUUCGCAAGAACCUCAUGCUCCUGGAGCGGCCGAUAUCUGAUUAGCUAGUUGGUGGGUAAAGGCCUACCAAGGCAUCGAUCAGUAGCUGGUCUGAGAGGACGACCAGCCACACUGGAACUGAGACACGGUCCAGACUCCUACGGGAGGCAGCAGUGGGAAUUUUGGACAAUGGGCGAAAGCCUGAUCCAGCAAUGCCGCGUGAGUGAAGAAGGCCUUCGGUUGUAAAGCUCUUUUGUCAGGAAGAAACGGUGAAAGCGUAAUAUCUUUUAGCUAAUGACGUACCUGAAGAAUAAGCACGGCUAACGUACGUGCCAGCAGACCG